CCAAACAUUCAGUCGGGGCCUGGCUUUCUUCAACAGCAGAGCUCUUCACUGUAGCUCCGCUGUUGGGACUCGGGAGUGGGCUGAUUGGGCUCGGCCGCAGUAGCGCGAUCGGCCGCAGCUCCCGGGGGAACAUUUUCAGCGACACCGGAGCCAGCCGAGGAUCGAGGAGCGGCUCCGGCAGCAGCAUGGGAGCACCAUCAGCAGUUUUGGGGGCCCCUUUGGGGGAGGUAGCUGGCCGAGCAUAGCCCAGUUGUGGGCUUGGAGGCCUUCGUGGGCAUUGUUUUCAGCUUCCUCUGGGCCUGGGCGGCUGGGCCUGGUCAGCUGGACCUGGGUGGCUGGGGGGUUGCAUCAGCCUUCCUCUGGGCCCGAGUGGCUGGGAAGCCAAAAGGCCUCCAGUGAAGGCCGUCUGGCCUAUGUCUGGGCCUUCUCUAAAUUUGGGCCUGAUUUGGUCAUCUCUUGGGGCCCUCUCUCCUCAGUGGGCACUAGGCCUGGGGUGCAGGCCAGUUUUUCCAUUGGUAGCCACCUAAGAGUUGGGCCUGUUGGCCUUGUGGGUGGGGUGGUGCUUUAAGGAGUGGGGUGAUCCCACUUUGGGGACUUUCUCUGUUGUACAUUGGCCUUUCUAGUCACCAAGCAUGCCUCCCAAGAAGGCCCGGGGUAAGACUGGGGGUCAGCCUACUAGGCCCCCUCGCCAACCCGUUCCCCAGCCUUCUUCCUCUGAUGAGGAGGAUAUGGACAUGGCCCAAAUUAGGGGUCUUAUACAGAGGAUGGAGACGCUGGAGUGGGCCAGGAAGGAUCCCUUGGAUAAAGGGGGUCCAUCUGGGGUGCCCACCAGGCCUGGUAAGCAGACAUGGGGAGCUGUUAAAGCGCAGCUGCUGAAGUUUCUGUCUGACAGGCUUACAUCUCUGAAAAGUAGAGCAGCACCUGCCAAGCUGGUCGAUGGAGGGGAUCCUCCCUGUUUGGUGCCCAGCGGUCCGGCUGGUCCUGUGCCAGUGGAAGUGCCAACACCCGUCCCAUCGGUGCCUGCGGAUCCCAGUGGUGGGAGCAGUGCCACGCCAGAUCACAUAGAUGAGGAGGUAAUUCCCAACGAUGCCGACAAAAACCACUAGGGAGUAGCAGGGGAUAAUGAGAGGCUUGAAGAACUGAACGUGCUGGAGCCCCACAAAAGGACUGCUGGUGUUGCUGUGGAUGGCUGAAAGCAAGCUCUGGGAGCAUCCACCAGCUCCUCCUGUUAGCGACCUGCACAAACCCCACCACCAUCUCAAGGAGUAUUCAGGCUGAUAUCUCAAGAAGAGUCAUGGUACUAUCUAUUCAAAGUCAUCUUAUGCUGCAAAUGUUCAUUUUAAAAUAAUGGUUUCUGAGGGUGUGGGACCAGCUUUGUGCUGAACAUUUUGAAAUUUAGGCAGAGUCCAUUGUUGACUAUUGCAUUAGACUCAUACAAGGGUUCCCAACAAGGGGUACUAUUACCCCUAGGCAUUCUUGAUGGGCUCCCAAUGGUAUUCAGUGCCUAUAUGCCUCCCAAGGUUACAGGCACGCUAUUUUUAACCCAUCUGAGGACACGUUGGCCUGGUGAUGUGUCCACUGCAGAAAGGGAGUGGAGAGGGUGAAGACCUCUGCUCCUGAUUGGCUGGCUGUGUGCUGAAACUCAGCAUACCCUUCCCCUCAGCCUAACAGGCUUCAGAAAGUCAGCACUGACUACUUCCAUGAAAAUGAAUGACAAAUAAACAUGUCCCAUUAAUUA